rnacentral:misc_RNA from 1 species
ACAAAUUUCACAUAAAUAACUUCGUGAAAACGGAUCGUUACAAUGGCAAUAAUCGUUUAAACUGGAAGACGACGCCUCGGAAAAUAAGGCCGAAAGCCGACUACUCGUACAGCGGGAGGAGUCGCCAGUCGCAGCGCAGCGAGCCACGCCACGGCCACGGCUCUCAACGACGGGGGACCGCGGAGCGCCCGGCCUGGAGGAGCAGGAGACGAUAGACGCAGAGUUACAGAAGACCUCACUCGAAAUUAUCAUCCCAGCGACUAAGCCAUUGGAUUAAG